rnacentral:rRNA from 1 species
UGAGGAAUAUUGGUCAAUGGGCGAGAGCCUGAACCAGCCAAAUCGCGUGAAGGAUGAAGGUAUUAUGUAUUGUAAACUUCUUUUACAGGGGAAUAAAGUGCGGGACGUGUCCCGUUUUGUAUGUACCCUGAGAAUAAGGAUCGGCUAACUCCGUGCCAGCAGCCGCGGUAAUACUGAGGAUCCGAGCGUUAUCCGGAUUUAUUGGGUUUAAAGGGUGCGCAGGCGGGAGAUUAAGUCGGCGGUGAAAUUUUGCAGCUCAACUGUAAAAGUGCCUUCGAAACUGGUUUCCUUGAGUGUAGAUGAAGUAGGCGGAAUUUGUGGUGUAGCGGUGAAAUGCAUAGAUAUCACGAGGAACUCCGAUUGCGAAGGCAGCUUACUAAGCUACUACUGACGCUCAGGCACGAAGGCGUGGGGAUCAAACAGG